CUUUGAUUUAAUCUAUGAAACAAUUUAGCAUGAGAUAUACACAAAAAAGAAGAAAUCAGGAUGGGGAAAAUACUUUUUCACAGCACUGUACAUGUAUACUGUAGCAUAUACUGUACUGUAAUAGACCACUUUUCAGACAAAAACCUUAAUGAAGGCUGUCAGGAAUGAGUAAAAACUUAAUUUGAUUGUAAAAUAAAAAAUGUAAUUGUCAAUGUCCUGUAAAAAUAUAUGUGUUGGACAAAUAUUCGACACAUUACUGUGUACUAGGCUAGAUUUAUCAUUAGCAACACAACAGCAGGAUGUUUUCUUUAGUCAUAUUUGUGGUGUGAAAGCUAGUAGUAUACAGGUGCUUUUAUUACAAAUAUCACAAACGUCCAUCUUUUUGAGCUCAUCAUUGUUUGUACUUAAUUCCUAUGCUGCUGUAUUUAUAUUUAUUGCACAUGAAGAGACAAAUUCAUAUUAAUAUUUUAUUAGUGUACAAAACGUAUUAAAAAGGAAUUAUACAGCACGUUUAAGUCAAACUAGAGCUAAUUUUAAUUAGUCACGUUAGUAUCCAAGGUUAUUCAACUGUAAGUUUCAGGCUAUUACAGAAGCAUAUACAGUAUUUCCACAUAUCCAUCUUCUUACAAUAUCACGUUUGUCUUCAGCGCAUGCAUUAUCCAUUCUCUCAGUAAACAGCAAGAGUCAGGUAGGAAGAGAAUACACAAUUUAAUGUGUAUCAUCUUCGCUCAUCUACAGUCUCACAGAUUAGUAAAACAUCUGCAGAAUCUACAUUAGACAUGAUGAGAAAAAGAAGUCCAUAAUAAAAAAGUGACAGUAUUAAUAAUGAACUGGAUAACAGCAUCAUUUAAUAAUAGCAAUUGGUUAAUUAAUUCAUAAUAAUAAGUCUGAAAUGUCAAGAGCACUGAGACACUGCUUAGUCUGUUAGCACACAAAGUCUCCAGCCAAUGGAUGGGAGCAAAUGGAUUGAAAUAGAAAACAAACAAAAAACAAAAAAAAAAAACACUUUUCUAUAAGAUGGUCAAAUAAGAAAUGGAUGGAAAUGUGCUGGUGUCAACACUGAGAUGUUCUCAAUUACAUUAGCAUUAACAAAGCAAAUCUUUAAUCUUCUUAAGAAAACAAGUCAAAUAGAAGAAGAUACACCUUCAAAUAUAUGUGUACUUAAUUUUGAUUUAAACGUAAUCAUGCGCCUGUGUGAAAUAUAAGUCUCUGAUCCAUUGUAGGGUGCCAUUGAUCACAUUCUCAUCAGUAUUUGAGAGUGUAUGUUUAUUGAGCCUGGUGUGUGAGAUGCUGCCACUGCUAUGGUGUGUUACCCAGUGAAUGAGCAGAUAAAGACUUUACAGUGCAGCCAGCAAGAAAAGGCUCAUUAGUGGCUGGUCACUAUGACAGGGGUUGCUGAACUGCAUCAUGAGAACAGGACUAAGACGGUUCUCCCUAAUUGAAAACAGGAUGUAAUCGGUCAUUUUUUACAUUUUUUAUUUUAGAGAAGCAUUGUGUUAUAAUAAAUAACUAAUUCAGUGAUACGAGCAGAAUGGGAACUGGUGUAAAUCUAUGGCUUAGCUAUUAUACACUUCCUGACACUAUCACUGAUGUUCAAAUUCUAUGGAUAAGAAUGAAGGAAAGCACAAAGUGCAUGUUUAAAAAAUGGUGUUACAGUAAUAUGGAACCUGUAUUGAAAAUGAGAACUCUCCCUACAAAUAAAGGAAAUGCAACACAAUGCAAAAACCUUAUGGUUCUAAGAGAGCAAAACAAACAAACAAACAAACAAACAAUUACUUUCACAAAGAUUGACCAAGACAGCAACAAUGUGAAUAUUUAGUGUACCUGAAAUUCCACACUCCAAGACAAAUAAUCAUGUAUAAAAACAGAAGUCUAACUAAAUAAAUAAAUAAAAAAACAUAAGCCUAAGAAGGUAAUAUUUCAAUAACUUUCCUUCAUACACCAUUAAUAAUAUAUAAACAAAUCAUUAUUCAGAAUUUGACCAUUAAUUGAUGAUUUGUAAAUGUGUUUUGUACAUGUUUACCAAAGAAUUACAGAUAUAAAACACUAAUCAACUGUUGUAAAAGUUCAGCUUUCUAUUAGCUACUGUAAAAUUGUCCGUACAUAAUGAAUUUGUUAUUAAACAAUCUGUUAUAAAUAUGAGUGGAGAUGUCUAAUAAUAAAAGAUAUAUGGAGAAGCCUAAAAAUACAUGACUGUAUGUAAUGCAAGAACUUAGCCAAAGAUCAGUGUUAAUGAAUUUAUGCAAAUAAUAUUGUGAUGAUGUACAGAAAAUUUUAAUUCAGGACAGUAUUUUGCAUUUUUUGGUUUCUAACAUGACAAACUGUGUUUUUUGUUUUGUUUGUUUUUUACUUCACUAAUCAUGGACUAAUUUGUUUCGCAGACAUUCCACAACAUUAAAUGUAACUAUAAACAUGAAAAGCAUGGCGUGAUGUACUUUAAUUAAUUUUUAAAAAACUGUUGCGUUGUAUUACACUACUCAGACAUUGAUUUUUUUUUCAUAACAGCAUGACCUAAAGCGUUUUACAUAUGUUUUCAUUACAUUUUCAUAAUGACUGCACAUGUAAGUAACUACAUGAAGUGUCAUUAAUAAUCAUUAGCUGUUUACAUGUUUAAAUUCUGAAUAACCAAUGAUUUGUUCAUAUCUAUUAACAAUGUAUUACAAAGUUAUUAAAGUGUUACUGCUUAAGUAGUUCAGCAGGCCUAUCUUCAGGUUAAUGUUUACCACUGAGUCCUAUUUUUCUUUACAAAUACAACAUUUCUUGAAUUUAUACCACAUUGAUAUAGCAUUUUACACAAUUACACAUUUUAGUAAACCUUCCAAACUAUGUAAUUGCUACACAUUAAAUGUUUUCAAGUAUCCAGAAGUUACAUAUUUAACAACUUAGUGGAAGACCGGUAGCGUGGUUUUACUUUGGAACUAGUGGAAUUUUUCCUUUUCCCCCAUGCUGAGUACUAAAAGCAAAAUCAUCAUCUUGUGAUUGUCACCUCACGCCCACAACAGAUUCCCACAAUGUCACACUCACCCUGUAGCCUUUCUCAUGUACCUAUUUGCCACAAUGGUUUCCUCUGGGACUAGUGGAAACUGUGGAUUUGCAAUAUGUUAUGAUGGCACACAUGACCAGACAAAAAUCAAGUAGGAUAGUUAUGAAUAUCUCAUUAUUACCAAUGAAAACCCAUCAAUCUGACAACAUACACUUCUAGGGCAGACACUGGAAAACCUAUACUUGUUUUACUCUAUAAGGGGCUCUAUUUCACUAAUUCUAACUGUAUAAAACCUGGAUAUAAAAAUCAGAGUGUGUACACAUGCUGAGACCAAUAAAUUAAAUACAUUUGCUAUAAUUACCUUCAUGCCAUGUUACUUCUUUUCCUUUUCUCUACUCGCUAAGCACAUAGCAGAUCUCAGAUAGAUUUUGGAGUCCUCACAAGAUUGUGUCUGACAUCCCAGUAUAGACAGUAAUUCACAACCCAUAAUUGCAAAGUGUUUUGUCUGCUGUGCCACAAUGACCCAUGUUUUCCUUUUAUGUGGAGAGAACAUCUAAUAGCUCAAUGGUUAAAUGUUCCAUUGACCAAAACUUUUGGGCAUGUACCAAAGUUCUUAUCACCAGUACUGACACAGCAUAUUUGAAUACACUUCCUCAACUCUUCAACAAGAUGCUGAUACUAUGAUUUUGUAAUCUUUCUAUUUUUAAAAUUUGCACCAUCAGUCAAGGUGCACUGAGGCAUACCAUAGGUGAUGGUAGUUCUAAUAUUUUACUUUUUGCUACUGUGACAUUUGCUAUUAGUACGUGGCAAGGACACAUACAAUGGGGAAAACUCAACUAGUUCUGAAACUACCCUCUGUCUGGAAUGAAAGAAAGUAGAACCAAAUUUAUCAAUAAUUACUUUUGUCAUGUUUCAGGACUCAGUUUUGCACUUCAAUGUUACUUUUUUUUUUUUUUUCAAUGGGUAUGUGGAUAUUUCCAAUCUGUCAAAAACUUUUUGAACAGUAGAUUUUACAUUUCAGUGGUAUGUUAUUCUGAACUCAGUAUAAACCUGACUCAAUCCUGUUCAGUGUUAACAUAUGACCAUUUUUGACAUUUCAUACACUGAAACAUUAACUUGCAUGAAUUCUGCAGCAAAACUGAUUUGACUGCACACUAUGACAGGACAAGUCACAUGAAAAUUUAAAUUACAUGAGCAUGAGAAAUAGUGCACAUAUAAACCAUUAAGUUCAAGAAUGGAUUUUUUUUUUAAAAAAGAGUUGAAUUUACUGCAAUAAUCUGGGAUUGUCUGGGAUGCUUUAUAAGCUGUAAUGAUGGCAUUUCUGUAACAUAAACUAUCAGCUGUAAGCUAAGUUGAUUUUGAAAUCUUUUAUGAAAUUCAGUCUGUAUUUCCAGGCAUUUCCAAUCAAUAAAUCUUUGGUUCUCAAAGAUACCAUCAGUGCAAGGAAUCAAAGAGCAAUGAGACAUUAUUAUUCUCCAUGUGUAAUGAAACUUACCUAUGAAAUCUCCAAAAUGACAAAAGUCGUUACCAG
ensembl:lncRNA